GGUGUGGUGCCGGUGCAGCGGUAGAGCACGCGGCCCCCUAUGUAGAGAGGCUUCGGCCCUCGACGUAGCUGUCCCCUGGUUCAAGUCCUGGCCACGACG